GACGGUACAGCUCAGUGGUAGAGCGCGUGCCCAGCAUGCAUGAGGUCCUGGGUUCGAUUCCCAGUGCCUCCA
rnacentral:tRNA from 1 species